rnacentral:rRNA from 1 species
CAAUAGCGUAUAUUUAAGUUGUUGCAGUUAAAAAGCUCGUAGUUGGAUUUCUGGCAGGGCGCCGAUGCCCGCUUGUUGCGUGUGCAGAGCGCCCUACCAUCCUUCUGUUAACUUGUCAUGGCAUUCAUUUGUCGGUCAAGGGCUCAGAUAUUUUACCUUGAGAAAAUUAGAGUGUUUCAGGCAGGCUUGCGCCGGAAUACAUUAGCAUGGAAUAAUAGAAUAGGACUUGAAUCUCUUCUGUUGGUCUGAGGGGUUGAAGUAAUGAUUAAUAGGGAUAGUUGGGGGCAUUAGUACUUAACUGUCAGAGGUGAAAUUCUCGGAUUUGUUAAAGACGGACUACUGCGAAAGCAUUUGCCAAGGAUGUUUUCAUUAAUCAAGAACGAAAGUUGGGGGCUCGAAGAUGAUCAGAUACCGU